rnacentral:lncRNA from 1 species
UCGUCCAGGCAUACGUGACUGGAGAGGGACCGGUGGAGAAUUUGGCUGCACACUUGAGCGACCCAUUCGGAAACAACUUGCUGACCGUCAUCCAGGGUACUGCUGAGCGGACUCCCAGCCUUUAAGCAAGAAAAGCUGGAUAUGUAGUGACUGCCGAGGAUUGGGAAUGUAUAGACCUAGGAGAUCUUAAUGCACGAAGCUCGUUGCUUGGAGAAAAUUCAUCGUACAUAUUGGAUAUGUGAAAGACAAUGCAGUUAGAAAACCUGCUUUCCUUUGCGUUAAUUUAGCUUCGCUUUGAAGACUGAGUUUUUCAAAUUGAAGUGAUGACUCUUUUAAACUAACCAAGUCCACGAUUAUCGAUAUGUGAAUGGUAUGAGACUAUGACGUGUCUUCUUUAAACUGUUUUCCUAUCUCAAUCGCAAUCCAAUUCGUUGCCCAGUUACAAUUAUGAUGGUAUUCAUAGUUUACCUAACAACUAUCAGUCGUCAGAAUUCGUGCUCAAACUCAUAAUUCCUUGUGUGCCAUACAGCAGCAGACAAUGUGAAUCAUAAUAAUUUGUCGUGCAACAUUUCUCAAAAUAUUCGGCCGAUGAACUAUUUAACUGUCUCAAUCAAUGUGCUCACUUCCACGUGUCUCGUGCACCAGCGACAAUAUUGAUAUGAACUAUCAUCGAACACUGUCAUAAUCUGUGCUGACCCAACUAACACUUUCAAAAUGUGACGAGAAGGACGCUAUAAAAACUCUCUAUUCGAUGCCAUCCAAUUGCUACAACCUGCCCUGGACAAUCUACUGGCUACAACAAGUCAAGCUGCUUCAGUGACACUAUGUCGUGAGAAAGAAGGUCAACUAUUCCCGAAAAGUGAGAGGCCCCAAUUCAUCGAAUCCUUAAGAAUCUCCGUCGAGAAGUAAAUAGUAUUUGCAUCGCCAUUGGAUGUCUGAGGGCGCCUUAUCCAUAUCCUACUGGCUACGCUCAUGGUUACACAAGCUCGCCAUCCUUUCGCUCAUGCCCUGGAGUGCUCACGUCGUUCUUCUACACACAGCCAUCAUCUAUGGUGGUGGUGGUAAUCUGCCAGAGCCUCCAAUUUAGCAACAAUCUGGUGAGGAGCGAUGGCGGCCAUGGCAGCUGCAAAAGCUCAGUUUCUGGGUCAGUCCCUGGUGAGCAGCUGGAGAGGAGUGUUAAAAGAAGAGAAAAGAAGCAAGCAUAACAGAAUUGAUCAUCUGUUAUUAUUCUCUUAAAGCGUGUAUUACAGAGGUUGAUGACAACCUAUAUAGGUUGUAGAUUGAUUACCAAAAUAUAUAGAUAAGACAUUCAAUUGGUGAUAGUCCUUGUUCUUUACUAAUUAUUUAAUCCAAAUAGCUUUUUUGUACAAGCUAUAUAUUCUACUUUGAUAGAAGAUAAUGCUAUAAUAGGUUGUUGCCAACUUUGCCAAGAAAUAACUCCACCGGCUAAUGUAAAUAUACAACUAAGAAUGGAUCUUUGGUAGUUUUCAUCACAUGUCCAAUUACUACUACUUAAAUCUUAAAUUUAAUGUUGAUAUUCAAUUAAAUUUUAUUUACUUUGAUGAAUAAUUUUAUAAUUUAAAAUUCCUUUAAGAUAUCUUAUUAUACCUUUUAUUGUAGAUCAAUGUGCUUAACUUGGAUUAGCUAUAAAUUUGGCAACUUGGCAAAUAGAAAAAGUAAUAUCAAGCCUAAUAUGAAUCAUGGCAUGUAUUAAGCACCUUACAAUAAUUAAGUACAAGACAUCCUUCAUUAUCUUUAUAUUUUUAUGAUCAAUGAAACUUAUAUCCAUAGUCAAUCUUAAUUUGGCUUCAAGAAGGAUUGAAACGGGUUUAUAAUCUUAUAUAUUAAAUCUUAUAAAAAUUUCAGUUAUAUAUUUAUUUUAUAAUAAACUAAUAGACUUGUUAAUUUUAUUGUAUUCAACCAUUAUACUUUGGCAACCAUAUCUACUUUCAAUAGAUCUUUUUUUAGUCAUUUCAAAGCCACUUGCCAAAAGUCUUUAAGUAGUAUUUAAGAAAUAUAUAUUAUUACUAAUAAUAAUAGAGUUGUCUACAUAUGAUGUCUAUAUAAUAAAAUUUUGAUGCAUUAGCUCUCUUUUAAUAUAUAUACUAGAAUCUAUUUUACUAUAAGAAAAAUCAUUUUCAAUAAAUUAAUGGUUAAAUUAUUCAUACCACAUACACAAAAUUUAUUUUAAUCCAUAUAUACAUUUAAUAACUUAUAAACUAUAUGUAUAAAGUAAAGAUCAAUAUAACUCUUUGGUUGAGCCAUAUAAAUUUGUUUAUUUAAAAGACCAUGAAGAAAUACGGGCUUAAUGUCUAUUUGAUAAACAUUUAAAUCAUAUAUUGUAGUUAGGGAUAAUAAAAUAUACAAUGAAUUUAUUUUUAUCAAAAUAAAAAAUAUCUUUUCAUAGACAAUAUUGUUUUCUUGUGAAAAACACCUAGCAACCAAUUGAGCCUUAUAAUAGGUGAUUAUUCUAUUAGGAUUAUAUUUUCUUUUCGAAAUCCAUUUAUAACUUACAGUGACUCAAAAAACUAUUUCAAUGUUGACAUAUUUUAGAAAGAAUGGUGUAUUACAGAUGAAUUGUUCUGAAUAACGACAUGUGGUAUAUAUAGCAAAUAAAGUAUUCUUUUACAGCUACCAAAUGAGUCCAGGUUGAAAAGAAUCCAUUAGGUAAUUGUGGAGCUAUGACCAAUCUAAUUUGGAAUAGUAUUGAAACAAUCUUUUGACUAUGGUGUCAAAUUUUUGGAUUCUAUCAAUUACUUAAUAUUAUAACAUUCUAUCAUCAUUAGAUUUAUUAUGAAAAUAUUAUUACUAAUCUAAUGAUAUUAUUAAUGCUUACUAGCAGGUAUAAAAGCACUAUUAUUAAUUACAAUUCCUAGCACAGACAUAUUCUAAAUUAUUACAUUCUAAGUCCUUUUAGAAUCUUCUACAAAUUUCUAAAAUCUUCUAGAUAUUUGUAGAAUCUUCUACAAUCUUUUAGAAAGUUCCAUAGGCUUUUAGAAGCCUCUUUAGGCUUUUAGAAGCCUCUUUAGGCUUUUAGAAGCCUCUUUAGGCUUUUAGAAGCUUCUUUAGACUUCUAAAAACUUCUAUAGAAAGUACUAUAGACUUUUGUAACCUUCAUUAUAGUAUAAAUAUGAAUCUUUGGAACCACUUUUACUAUUAAUCUUAUUCUUUGUCUUUAAUCUUAAUAUAUUUCUUUGUCAAAUUCUUGUAUCCUUGACAAUUCCUUAAACAACUAGGAAAUCCAUUUCUUGCUCUCUCCAAAAUAACAUCACCUCUACUCUUCUUCAUUCUCAAAAAUCUUAUGGCCAAAUUGCUUCUGAACUUGGCUGUAGUAAAGCUACUAUCUCUAGGCUAGCAAAAAAGAUCACUUUUAAUAGGGAGAAUCUUAAAUUAGGUAGACUAAAGAAGCUCACUGUAGUAGAUGAAAGAACAAUCAUUUGCCAAAUCAACAUUGGGAAGAUUGAAAAUGUUAUUGAAGUUGCUAAAAAUCUUUAUAAUAUUAUCAAUAAUCCUAUGUCAAUCCAAACCAUUUGAAAUGUCCUUAAGAAAUAGAAUCCGAAAGCUGCGGUAAAAAAAAAACAAACAAACAAACAAACAAACAAACACUAUUAUCUAUCUGCCAAUAGAAACAAUGCUUGGAUUUUCCUCUGAAGUACAAAGAAUGGAUUGUGGAGAAUUAGAAGAGGAUUAUUUGGUGAAAUGAGACAAAAAUCAAUAGAUUUGGGUCAGAUGGCAAAAAAAAGGAUGUAAAAAUAAAAAGAACAAUCUUUACUUGACAAAAAGAUAUAAGAAAUAAUUAAGCAUGGAGGUGGAAAUAUAAUGGUAUAGAGUUGUAUGGAAUGGAAUGGAGUUGAUAGAAUGGCAGAGGUUGAAGAAAGGAUAGAUGUCAAGCAAUUUGUAGAAAUUUUUGAAAAAAAUCUACUUCUUAGCAUUGAAGAAUCUAGCAUUUUUGAAGAAGAAGUGAUUUUUCAAUAAGAUAAUAAUCCCAAGCAUAACUCAAAACUAGCAUCAAAGUGGUUUGAUCAUCAUAGGAUUAAAGUAAUAGAUUGGUCUGCUCAGUCUCCUCAUCUUAAUCCCAUUGAACAUCUUUGGAAGCACCUCAAAUGUCAGCUCAAUACCUAAAAGAUAAAACCAAAGGAUUGGAAAAUAUGAGAAUUAAUAGGUGUAGAAUGGAAUAAUAUUAAAGCAAUUUUGUGCCAAAAGUUAAUAGAAAGUAUGCCUAGGAGGUUGAAAUUAGUUAUCAAGGCCAAAAAAGGUCCUAAAAAAUACUGAUAUGUAAUUGGAUGCCACAUUCAUAAUUUUUUUUUAAUAUUGUUCGAAAUUGAAUUGGUCAUAGUUUCAUAAUUACCUAAUGGAUUCUUUUCAACCUAGGCUCAUUUGGUAGUUGUAAAAGAGUACUUUAUUUGCAAUAUAAACCACAUGUCAUUAUUCACUAUAAUUCAUUUGUAAUACACCAUUCUUUCCAAAAUAUGUCAAUAUUGAAAUAAUUUUUUGAGUCACUAUAUUAUAAAGCAUGUUAAUGAAAGAUCCUUCAAAAUUCAUGUAUUUUUUUAAAUUAAAGAACCAUAUUUAGAAUUUAAUGCUUCUUUCCACUUCGUAGUAUCUUCACCAUUUAAAGCUUUUGUAAUUAGAUAAGAUUCAUUAGAAUCAUGUAAAGUAAAUAAAUAAUAAGUAAUAUAUGAUUAUAAUAUUUAUUUAAUAAUUUUUUAUUAUUAAUAUUUUGGAUUUUUUUGGUAGAUUGAAUGAUAAAAUUCUUAAAUUAGUUAAAUGAGUAUUCUUAAUUAUAUCAUCAUUAUUUGACAAAAGAUUUUUUAAAGCAAUUAAUAAUUCAAAAAAUAUUUCUUCAUGUUGAAAUUUACUUUGAAUACAUUAGUAUGAUUACUUUGAAUACUUUGAACCUUAGUAUGAUUACUUUGAAUACUUUGAACCUUAGUAUGAUUACUUUGAAUACUUUGAACCUUAGUAUGAUUACUUUGAACAUUAGUAUGAUUACUUUGAAUACUUUGAACAUGUAUCAUGAGAAGACAUAACAUCAUUACAUAAUAUUGAUUGUCAAAUUGAAGUAAUUUUUGAAAAUUGUUAUAAAAGAAUAUAUUUUGUCAAGUAGAUAUCUUAAAUCAUGUUUCAACUAAAGCAUCAAUAAAGCUUUUGUUAUCAUUAUUGUCAUUUUGUAUUCAUUUCUUUCUUUGAGUAAAUAAAGUUUUUAAUAAGGUAAUUCCAUCAAAGAUAAUAUUACAACUAACAAUUUUUUUUUAUUUUUAAUUAUAUAAUAGAUAUUAUUCACCAUAGCCAAAAAAAAUAUAUUUUUUAUUUUUUAUAUCAAGCUUAUGUUGGUACUCAUUAAAAAUAUGUACAUAUGUUAUAUAUCCAUAGAUCUUCAAAUGACUUAAAUGAGGUGUUUUACCACAAUAUAAUGUCAAAAAAGUCAUUGAAGCUUCUAAUGUCUUUAAAAAGGUUCUAUUUUGUAUAUAACAAGUUGUGGCCUUGGCAUCUGCCCAAAAAAAUUGGAUAAUCUAGAUGUAUGCAAUAGACAUCUUGCAAACUUUAAUAAAAUUUUAUUCUUUUGUUUGCUAACACCAUUUUGUUCUAGUAUAUAGGAUAUAGUGAAUUGACAUAUUAUUCCAUGUUGAACACAAAAAUAAUUUGUCCAAGAAACCUGAGGACUUUGGCAGGUGGAGUCUCGGUCUACUCACACAUUUGUCAUCUGCUACAUCCAUUUUUAUUGUUCAGGAAUUUGAGUAAUUGUUUCGGGCUUUGGAUUGAGGGUUCUUGUAUCUACAUUCCGCAGUUACCAAGCUUAUGAGCUUAUCCAUGCUCGAUGGGCCAUAUUGCGAGCCGCUGGCUUUGUUCCUCCUAACGCAUUCAACAAGUUUGGCUCCGUCUGCGGCCCUGAAGCUAUGUGGUGGAAGGUACGUAAUGAAGUGAAUAUCCUCUCGGGUGUGCUCUCAUGUAGACAUGGAGUUUACAUCUUAGUGACAUUUGCUGGUGUUAGAAUCGCAGAUGAGCACUUGUUGCGAAAGCAAUGUUAGUGGUUUUAAUACUCAGUUAUUUUAACCGAGUAACUUGAUUCUGACGAGACUUAUGUGUUCAUUAGACCGGAGCAUUACUGCUGGAAGGUGACUCCAUCAAGUACUUCGGAGCCACCGUUCCCAUCAACCUGGCCGCUGCCGUGAUUUCCGAGGUUAACCUGGUUGGAGGAUCCGAGUACUAUAGAUCGACCAACAAGUCUCCCCUCGGAUCGGUAUGUCCCUGCACCAAUUCGCUGUCAUGUGGAGAAAAAGGUGGUAGACAAGACAGAGGUGGCCUUAUCAUGGUUUGAGGGUGUGGCGAGGUGAAUCGAUCUUUGAACUGUCCACGUUCUGACCGUGAGGGAUGUUUAUGGAUUGCAGGACUUGGAUAGGUUGCACCCAGGAGGUGCAUUCGACCCUUUGGGGCUUGCGAAGGAUCCCGACCAGUUCGCGCUGUUGAAGGUGAAGGAGAUCAUGAACGGGAGGUUGGCUAUGUUUUCGAUGCUGGGGUUCUUCGUCAAGGCAUACGUAACUGGAGAGGGACCGGUGGAGAAUUUGGCUGCACACUUGAGCGACCCAUUCGGAAACAACUUGCUGACCGUCAUCCAGGGUACUGCUGAGCGGACUCCCAG